GCCGUUAUGGCCAAGUGGUAAGGCACCGCACUUGUAAUGCGGCGAUCCGCGGUUCAAUCCCGCGUGACGGCA
rfam:Pachysolen tannophilus NRRL Y-2460 unplaced genomic scaffold PACTA_scaffold_2, whole genome shotgun sequence.